rnacentral:rRNA from 1 species
GAUGAAUGCUGGCGGCGUGCCUAACACAUGCAAGUCGAGCGGCAGCGAGGGGUGCUUGCACCCUGUCGGCGAGCGGCGAACGGCUGAGUAACGCGUAGGAAUUUGCCCCAAAGUGGGGAAUAACUGCCCGAAAGGGUAGCUAAUGCCGCAUAUGGUCUUCGGAUUAAAGGAUUUAUCCGCUUUGGGAGAAGCCUGCGUUGGAUUAGGUUGUUGGUAGGGUAAUGGCCUACCAAGCCGACGAUCCAUAGCUGGUCUGAGAGGAUGAUCAGCCAGACUGGAACUGAGACACGGUCCAGACUCCUACGGGAGGCAGCAGUGAGGAAUCUUCCACAAUGGGCGAAAGCCUGAUGGAGCAACGCCGCGUGAAGGAUGAAGGCCUUCGGGUUGUAAACUUCUUUUAUGAGUGAAGAAUAUGACGGUAACUCAUGAAUAAGCACCGGCUAACUACGUG